GGAUGGAUACUCAAGUGGCCGAAGAGGGCGGUUUGCUAAACCGUUAGGAGGAUAUAAAUUCUCGCGAGGGUUCAAAUCCCUCUCCAUCCGCCA
rnacentral:tRNA from 1 species